rnacentral:rRNA from 1 species
GAUGAACGCUGGCGGCGUGCCUAAUACAUGCAAGUCGAGCGAACGGACGAGAAGCUUGCUUCUCUGAUGUUAGCGGCGGACGGGUGAGUAACACGUGGAUAACCUACCUAUAAGACUGGGAUAACUUCGGGAAACCGGAGCUAAUACCGGAUAAUAUUUUGAACCGCAUGGUUCAAAAGUAAAAGACGGUCUUGCUGUCACUUAUAGAUGGAUCCGCGCUGCAUUAGCUAGUUGGUAAGGUAACGGCUUACCAAGGCAACGAUGCAUAGCCGACCUGAGAGGGUGAUCGGCCACACUGGAACUGAGACACGGUCCAGACUCCUACGGGAGGCAGCAGUAGGGAAUCUUCCGCAAUGGGCGAAAGCCUGACGGAGCAACGCCGCGUGAGUGAUGAAGGUCUUCGGAUCGUAAAACUCUGUUAUUAGGGAAGAACAUAUGUGUAAGUAACUGUGCACGUCUUGACGGUACCUAAUCAGAAAGCCACGGCUAACUACGUG